rnacentral:rRNA from 1 species
GACGAACGCUGGCGGCGCGCCUAGCACAUGCAAGUCGAACGAGCGAGAGAGAGCUUGCUUUCUCAAGCGAGUGGCGAACGGGUGAGUAACGCGUGAGGAACCUGCCUCAAAGAGGGGGACAACAGUUGGAAACGACUGCUAAUACCGCAUAAGCCCACGACCCGGCAUCGGGUAGAGGGAAAAGGAGCAAUCCGCUUUGAGAUGGCCUCGCGUCCGAUUAGCUAGUUGGUGAGGUAACGGCCCACCAAGGCGACGAUCGGUAGCCGGACUGAGAGGUUGAACGGCCACAUUGGGACUGAGACACGGCCCAGACUCCUACGGGAGGCAGCAGUGGGGAAUAUUGCACAAUGGGGGAAACCCUGAUGCAGCGACGCCGCGUGGAGGAAGAAGGUCUUCGGAUUGUAAACUCCUGUUGUUGAGGAAGAUAAUGACGGUACUCAACAAGGAAGUGACGGCUAACUACGUG